UGUAAUAUUAUAGUGUCUGUGCAUUGAAUAAUACACAGCAAUAGCUGCUACUUAUGUGUCAAAUAUCAUUGUUUGAAAUUACACAAAUCCAAUGUAAUAUCGCAUUCGAUAAUAAUGUAUUUUUCUAGCAACACUGCUUAAUUUGUUUUGACUGCUGUUGAUUUGGUUUUUGGGCGGCCGUCAUACGCCAUUUUACGUAGAAGAAGUGAGAAGCAGCGAUAUUUAGUUUAUUAAAUUAUUCUAAACAAUAACUUAGAUACGUAAUUUAAUACUAAUAAAUAGCUAGUGGACAAGACAAAUUAGUGGACAGUGGCGUACUGUAUUUUCAACAGAAUUGCAGAUCCGAUUUCUGUUCUAUGGACAGAAUAAAUAAAAGCUCCCUAUAAAUUCACCAUAGGUCGCUUGCCAUCUUCCCGAACUCCGGGAUGGGCACAAAACUGAAUGUGGCUUCCUCUGAAAUUCCGGGAUGAGAUGACAUAAAGGUGAUAAAUUGCUGCAAGGGCGAAUUUCCAAAGCUAUGAGGAAUUACGAGCAUUUUAACAUUGUCCUGAUGAUAUUGGCUGGUGGUGACUUUAUGCCCAACAAACUUGGUGGUAGCUUCUACAGACGAUCGACGGAAACCAAAGCGGCACUGAUAUUCCGCUGCGCAAAAUGGAACACGGAAUACGCGGUCAAACACAAAUUAUCCAUCAACUCAACCUAGGAAAUAAUCGUUUGAAGUCGUCCAAGCACUCCGCGCCGCUCGACUAUUUUCUACGGUAGAAACGCAAACGGUAACUCGGCUGAAAGAAUCCAUAAAAUUUCGAGAGAGACGCCGCCAACUUUCCGCCAUGCCAUUUCAUCGGAUGUUCAGGAUGACUCGCUACGCCUGACUAUUGAUCAUUACAAAGAGGUGCGGUUCUAGCUGCGGAUGGACCGAUCAGGAUAACGAUUCUCACGUUAGGAUUCCAGGCGGCGAACUAUUCCCCUCGGUGUGAUACAAAUUUCAUGUGUAUAUAAUAGAAAAUGAUAACAAAUAAAAAACAAUAUCAUUUAGAUGCAAAUUCAUAA